rnacentral:rRNA from 1 species
UACGUAGGGGGCGAGCGUUGUCCGGAUUUAUUGGGCGUAAAGAGCUCGUAGGCGGUUCGGUAAGUCGGAUGUGAAAGUCGGGGGCUCAACCCUCGAAUGCCGGUGGAUACUGUCGGGCUAGAGUGCGGAAGAGGCGAGUGGAAUUCCUGGUGUAGCGGUGAAAUGCGCAGAUAUCAGGAGGAACACCAAUUGCGAAGGCAGCUCGCUGGGACGUAACUGACGCUGAGACGCGAAAGCGUGGGGAGCAAACAGG